AUCUAGUGGUGUGGACAACUUGCACUUAGCUUCUUAAAUCUCUCCUAGUACUUAUACAAGCUUUCACCACUAAGCUGUCUAAUUCCAGAAAUGUCUUCUCUUAUAGU